rnacentral:tRNA from 1 species
GACUUUAGAAAUCGUGAGGGUUCAAGUCCCUCUAUCCCCAAAAA